rnacentral:rRNA from 1 species
GAACGCUGGCGGCGUGCUUAACACAUGCAAGUCGAACGGAAAGGCCCUUUCGGGGGUACUCGAGUGGCGAACGGGUGAGUAACACGUGGGUGAUCUGCCCUGCACUUUGGGAUAAGCCUGGGAAACUGGGUCUAAUACCGAAUAGGACCACGCAUUGCAUGGUGUGUGGUGGAAAGCUUUUGCGGUGUGGGAUGGGCCCGCGGCCUAUCAGCUUGUUGGUGGGGUGAUGGCCUACCAAGGCGACGACGGGUAGCCGGCCUGAGAGGGUGUCCGGCCACACUGGGACUGAGAUACGGCCCAGACUCCUACGGGAGGCAGCAGUGGGGAAUAUUGCACAAUGGGCGCAAGCCUGAUGCAGCGACGCCGCGUGGGGGAUGACGGCCUUCGGGUUGUAAACCUCUUUCAGCAUCGACGAAGCGCAAGUGACGGUAGAUGCAGAAGAAGCACCGGCCAACUACGUGCCA